UACGUAGGGUGCGAGCGUUAAUCGGAAUUACUGGGCGUAAAGCGUGCGCAGGCGGUUCGAUAAGUCUGAUGUGAAAUCCCCGGGCUCAACCUGGGAACUGCGUUGGAAACUGUCGAGCUAGAGUGUAGAAGAGGGGGGUAGAAUUCCACGUGUAGCAGUGAAAUGCGUAGAGAUGUGGAGGAAUACCAAUGGCGAAGGCAGCCCCCCUGGGAUAAUAUUGACGCUCAUGCACGAAAGCGUGGGGAGCAAACAGG
rnacentral:rRNA from 1 species